CAACCACCAUUUCAAAUUAAUCUUUUAAGAAGUCCAACCUUUUUGUUUGUUUGUUCCUCUCUUUUUAGCCUUUUCUCCCCGUAGAAAGACCUCACGUGGCCACAUAGGUUUUCCCUCGAAGACUUCAUGUUUUUCUUCAUCACUAGUCUGGGUCUUUUUUAAACAUAAAUAUUCACAAUUGUCUCAGAUAUUUUUAAAUUUAUAGAACCUGAAAUAGGGGACUCUGCUUAGCUGAUGACCUGUCUGAUCUUCCCUCUGGACUGAAGAUCCUGGAUAGGUUUUGAACCUCACUGGGCUGGGCAGUGGGAUUUAGAUAUAAGAAAGAAUAAAAGAGAAAUAAUUUUCACAUUUCUAGCAAGAGUGUUAUAGAGCUUCAACUUCCCAUCAGCUGGGGGAGGAGGAGAGGCUGGGAAGUCUGCCACAAUAUUUGGCAUGGCUGGGCUUCCAGAUUGUAUCUAUUUUUGUAGCUGCACAAGUUGGGAGGAGAUUAGAAGGAUAGUCAAAUUUCCUGCUCCAGGUUGUAAAUUGAUCAAGAGGUGGAAGGAGCACUAGAUUGGGAGGCAGAAGUUCUGGUUCCUGGUUCCAGAUUUUUCAGAUAUUAAUUAUAGGGCUGCAGAAGAGGCCCCUCCCUUCUCCAAACUGCCUUUCCCUCAGUUCUGAACAAGGACGUUGGAUUAGUUGACUUGAUCGCCCCUCCAUCUCUAAUAAUUUCUUUUUCUGAAGUUCUAGGAAUGCUUACCCCAUUUUUAAAAACUUUAUAAACUGUACAAAAGUUCAUUCAUUUGUCAAAAAAUUAAUAGGGAGUAUCUUUGUUAAUAAAUAAAUGUAGAGGUGAAUUCAAAGUCAAAUCUUCAUCCCUGUGUCCUCAGUUUCAAAGCUCUGCUUCUAGCAGUAGUCAGACUGGGCUGAGGUGACGUGCAAACCUACAGAAGGUCCGAGAGCCUUAUAGGAGCCUCCAGACAAAACCAUCCAGAUGCGUCAGAAGCAGAGAAGCCUGUUUGGGCUCCAAAGGGAAGCUGUGAGAAGGACUGAUCCUGAAAGGCUGAAGAACCCAACCUGGUCUCCUAGCAAUGUAGUACCUGAGCUGAACUCCAUCACCUGAAUGGGGUCAGAGGAACUACUGGCUGCAUAGACAUUCAUUCUUUUGGAACCUCAUGUCCAUUGAGAUGUUUGUUUUCCCCAAAUUAAACUGCAGGCCUUGACCAAUUUUUUAUUUCUUGGCACAUCUCCAGGAUCCAACCAAUAUAAUUUAGGUCCCACAGCAAGCAUGUUGUGGUAUAAUCAUAUUUCUCUAUUGUUUUAUUUUUCGUAGUGCACUCACAUGGACUAUCUUAUCCAGUUCUCUCAACAGCUCUAUGAGGCAAUACUAUACCCAUUUUAGAGAUGAGGGAGUAAGAGUACAAGUUUAUGUAGCCAGUGAAUAAGUGACAUUCAAGACUAGACUUCAGAUCUUCAGAUUCUUCUAUAGCUUUAUUUAUUUGUUUAUUUAUUUAUUUAUUUAUUUAUUUAUUGUCAAGUUAGCUAACAUACAGUGUAGCCUUGGCUUCUGGAAUAGAUUCCCAUGAUUCAUCAUUUAGAUACAACACCCAGUGCUCAUCCCAACAAAUCCCCUCCUCAAUCCCCAUCACCCUCUAUAGCUAUAUUUAUAUAAAAAUAAAGAAAUG
rnacentral:lncRNA from 1 species